UCUUUAUGGAGAGUUUGAUCCUGGCUCAGGACGAACGCUGGCGGCGUGCCUAAUACAUGCAAGUCGAGCGGAUGAAGGAGAGCUUGCUCUCCGGAUUCAGCGGCGGACGGGUGAGUAACACGUGGGCAACCUGCCUGUAAGAUCGGGAUAACUCCGGGAAACCGGGGCUAAUACCGGAUGGUUCCUUCCUCCGC
rnacentral:rRNA from 1 species